rnacentral:rRNA from 1 species
GACGAACGCUGGCGGCGUGCUUAACACAUGCAAGUCGAACGGACAGGCCCUGCUUUUGUGGGGUGCUCGAGUGGCGAACGGGUGAGUAACACGUGAGUAACCUGCCCCUGACUUUGGGAUAACUUCAGGAAACAGGGGCUAAUACCGGAUAGGAUCUCCUGCUGCAUGGUGGUGGUUGGAAAGAUUCGGCGGUUGUGGAUGGACUCGCGGCUUAUGCGCUUGUUGGGGGGGUAGUGGAGUACAAAGGCUUUGAAGGGUAGCCGGCCUGAGAGGGGUAACGGCGUCCAUGGGACUGAGAGACGGCGCAGACGCCUACGGGCGGCAGCAGUGGGGAAUAUUGCGCAAUGGGCGGAAGCCUGAUGCAGCAGCGCCGCGAGCGUGAUGACGGCUUUCGAGUUGUAAACCAAUUUCGCCGGUGACGAAGCGGGAUUGACGGUAAUGGGUAAAGAAGCACCGGCUAACUACGUG